rnacentral:rRNA from 1 species
UACGGGGGGGGCAAGCGUUGUUCGGAAUUACUGGGCGUAAAGGGCUCGUAGGUGGUCAACUAAGUCGGACGUGAAAUCCCUCAGCUUAACUGGGGAACUGCGUCCGAUACUGGAUGGCUUGAGUUUGGGAGAGGGAUGCGGAAUUCCAGGUGUAGCGGUGAAAUGCGUAGAUAUCUGGAGGAACACCGGUGGCGAAGGCGGCAUCCUGGACCAACACUGACACUGAGGAGCGAAAGCCAGGGGAGCAAACGGG